UACGGUAGAAGUCAACUUCGGUCUCUCUAAGAAACAGCUCAACCCGAAGUCAGUGUUCAAAGAAAAAUUGGUUUUGAAACUAGAAAGAAAAAUAAACUGGAAUCUGAGUUAUAAUGAAGUAAGGCUAAUAAUAAUCCAGAAACUGUAGAAACUGAUAGUUGAAAGGUGACUUCCCACCCUCAACUCACAGUCUAAUUAAGUCUGGAAAGUGAUGUCAAAAUAAGGAGAAGACUAUGUAUCUCCGCUUACAAAAGGAAAGAAAAUCUGGAAGAAGAGAAGAUGGAGAAGAGCAUGAAAGGUGAAGCAAGU
rnacentral:lncRNA from 1 species